GACGAACGCUGGCGGCGUGCCUAAUACAUGCAAGUAGAACGCUGAAGGAGGAGCUUGCUUCUCUGGAUGAGUUGCGAACGGGUGAGUAACGCGUAGGUAACCUGCCUGGUAGCGGGGGAUAACUAUUGGAAACGAUAGCUAAUACCGCAUAAUAGUAGAUGUUGCAUGACAUUUGCUUAAAAGGUGCAAUUGCAUCACUACCAGAUGGACCUGCGUUGUAUUAGCUAGUUGGUGAGGUAACGGCUCACCAAGGCAACGAUACAUAGCCGACCUGAGAGGGGGAUAGGCCCCACGGGAACUGAGACACGGCCCAGACUCCUACGGGAGGCAGCAGUAGGGAAUCUUCGGCAAUGGGCGGAAGCCUGACCGAGCAACGCCGCGGGAGUGAAGAAGGUUUUCGGAUCGUAAAGCUCUGUUUUAAGGGAAGAACGAAUGUGGAAGUGGAAAUUUAACCCUGGAAGGGUAUUUAACCAAAAAGGACGGGUAAACUACGG
rnacentral:rRNA from 1 species